GGUUUGCCUCUUUAUCUAGAUCUAUACCCGAACUCUUACCGAACUCGAGCGUUCUUAUUUAGAUAGCCACAGAUACUACUUUUGUGGGAAACAUGGCUUUAUAAUAAUAU
rnacentral:rRNA from 1 species